rnacentral:lncRNA from 1 species
CCAUGUUUUGUUUUGUUUGUGAGAUUGGAGUAAGACCAUUUAUUGGCAUCCGGUAUCAUUGUUUUGUUUUAGGAGAUUGGUGUAAAUCCAUUUAUUGGUAUCCGGUAUCCGCUUUUAUUCGUGAGAUUGGAGUAAGACCAUUUAUUGGCAUCCGGUAUCAUUGUUUUGUUUUAGGAGAUUGGUGUAAAUCCAUUGAUUGGUAUCCGGUAUCCAUCUUUGUUUGUGAGAUUGGAGUAAGACCAUUGAGUGGCAUCCAGUAUCACCUUGCUUUUAUUGUGCUUACUUGCUUUGUUUCUUUAUUCCUAAGGACACACUUGAAUCAUCUUCUAUAUGAUUUCAAGAGGUGAACUUCUAAGAAGUUUUACACUCCAUCAUCCAUACCCUUUUUGUUUCAAAAUCCCUUUUC